CUACGGCACCCUCCUGCUCCUGCUUUUUGUGCGUCUGUCAUUGAAAGCGAUGCAUGUCUGCAGUGUCUGUGGUACCACCAAGACGACUGUGCCACGUUUCAUGAAGUGUGCCGCACUGCACAAAAACACGAAUGCAUUCUGCAUGAAGUGCCCAUUGGAACAGUACAGAAAAGUGUUCCGAGAAUUCCUUCUCUGAGCUAGUGCUACGAGAUACCGAGGACGAAACUAGGACUGUAAAGAAAACGAAGAGUCCAAAAGGAUUUAUAUGGUUUUGUGUCAUGGAAGCCCAAAUUACCUGCACUAAGACACAGCAUAAUGGAUCACACUAAGUUGACACUGAUGCUAUAGUGCCCUAAGGUGCUGCAGCAUCUUCAGCUACCAGAAGGUAAGUACAAGUGAAGAUAACGUCGAAGACGUGCCGUGCUGCCCUUUCAUCAUUGGCAAAGGAGAAAACUUUCUGACUGCCGGG
rnacentral:lncRNA from 1 species